AUACACAUGUAUUCCAAUACGCAGCCCAGAUGGUCAGCUGUACUCUGUCAUUCUCACGCUGAGCACCGGCAUCAUUCAAAUUUCGAAUCACCCUGCGAGAGGAAACGCCAGAGCCGGAGCAGCCGGGCACCAGAGCCGGUGGUGUGCGAUCCACCUGCUCCUCCGACGCCACAUCGGAGAGCCUCCGAUGCAUGACGUGGGUGCUCGCUGCCUCUCCUCCCCCAACUCCGACACCGUGGACUCCUCACUGCCUCACCGACCACUAGCGCCAGAGAUCUCACCGCCGAUGUGGCCGCCGACGGACGGUUUGCAGCCCGUCCCCGAAUCCCUCACCCAGAUCCUGCUCAGCUUCUCCUCCUUCCCAACGCAAGAUCCUCAACUCUGGACAACACAGCAACAUGAGCAAUACGAGGUGGGGAUACAGAUUUAGGAGAGGAGGAUUCGGGAGGAGGGAGCUGGGUCGAGACAGAGGAUCAAUGUCGGCCUCAGUUCACCACGGGAGAUGGAGAUGAGCAAGAGGAGGCUGUGGAUGGAUCUGAUGCCGAGAACAGAAUAAAUGGCGAGGUGGGGUUCGGGAGUUUGUACCCAAAUGCAUAGACGCAACGACAAUCGAAUGGAGAGCGAGAAGAAUUCGAGAUUUCCCCUCCGACGCCGGAUGAUGAAGGAGAAACGGGGUCAGUAGCAACAAAGGUGUCUGUGCCGCUGUGUUCCAGAGGGAUGGAAGCAACCACAACCAACCCCAUUCAUUCUCAAAAGUCUGACCAGGACCAAUGUACAUGGAAGAGAAGGAUACGGCUUGGCAAAAUACCAGAUCAGAGAGAGCCAAAACGAGGAAGAGUGUGCUCGCUGGAGAAAGCAAUGCGCAGCUAUGUUCACCGGAAGUCAGGGCAAGUGGUUGCUCCUGAGAUUGCACGAGAGUUCGACUCACUAGCAGAGGCAUUUAAGUUUUACAACCUCUAUUCUUGGGAGAUUGGUUUUGGCAUCAGAUAUGGUCAAUCUAGGACAAAUGCACAUAAGAGCAGAACAGUUCAAGACAUCGUUUGUGGUUGCUCGGGACGCCCAAAAAAAGAAAACACAAAGUCGGUGGCGUGCAACUGCCAAGCCUUGUUCAGGCUACACCGGACUAACGACAAUGGAUGGUAUAUUCAUGACUUCAGACCAAUGUCGUGCAAUGGAGUUGUCUAUCACUAAUGUGCUACCUGGAACAAAACACCGCUGGUGCAAAUGGCACAUUUUGCGUCGUGCAAAGGAGUUCCUUGGACCAGUCUACACAAUAAAUAGAGAUUUCAGGGAUGAGCUACACAAGAUUUUAGAAUACAUGCUCACUUUAGAUGAGUUCGAAGAAGCCUGGGGGAAUCUAAUUCACAAGUAUAGUUUGCAGGAUCACCCAAUGAUGACACAAAUAUACGAGCUGAGAAUGAAAUGGGCAAAGCCAUAUUUUGCAGGUUCAGAUUAUAUGUGUUAUCGCAGUGAGCACAUGAUGAAUCUCUCCUUGAUAAAAUUUUUGAGGUGUAUUUUGCGCAAGGAUGACCAGCACUCAGAGGUCAGAGAGCAAACUAUAUGUUGAAGAAUUUUUUUCCUGCUCGAGCAUCAAUGCACAUGUUCCUGAAGCAUUACCAGAAACUUCAGUUUGACCGUGAUUCCGAAGAAAAUUUUGCUGAAAAGAAGAGCCGAUUGGCGUGCAAGUGCUAAAAACAGGUUUGCCUAUGGAGAGACAUGCCGGGAAGGUAUACACGCCGGCAUUGUUCAAGCUCUUCCAAGAAGCAUGCUUUAAAUCUGCAUCCUACUUCGUCGAGAACACUUGCGUAGUCAAAGAUACAUACCGCGUGACACACCUUUAUGCCGAGCGUAGUGAAAGUUGGUCCAAGACUUCUUACAACGUGAAAGUGGCUCAACGUGAAAAUUUGUUUCAAUGCGAGUGUGGUAUGUACGAGCAUAUGGGUUUGCUCUGCUGCCAUGGCUUACGGGUAAUGGCACACCUGAAGUCCACGAACAUACCAGAAGCACACAUCUUGAGUAGGUGGACUAAAAAUGCAUGUGAAGAUCUACCCGAGCAUUUGAAAAUUUACAAGGGGCGCACACCUAUCCUUGAUUCAACUACAUUCAGGCAUACAACACUUUACACCACAGCUCUUGAUAUAGUAAAGAUGGGUGACAGCAACCCUGAGGCAUUCGCGUUUGCAAUGUCCAGAUUAUCUGAUACAAGGGUUGGCCUCAAAGAAAAGGCAAAAGAGCAGGACGGCAAAGGACUUGAGGAUGUUCUACACAAAGCAAACAAUGAUGGCCAACAUAAAUUUAACGGUGACACUGGGCUCAAAUCAUCAAUGAGCGUAGAAUUUCGCAAGAGAGAUCGUGGCCGACCAACCAACUCAAGAUCUAGACCAGGAUAUGAAGUUAGUAAGCCAAGAACAAAGUUCUGCAAGAUUUUCCGGGCAAAGGGACACAACUCUGGUAAUUGCCCAACAAACGGUGGACCAAACAAGAAGCAACGGAAGGAACCCAAGUGUGGUAAGUGUGGCUUGCUUGGUCACAUUAGGACACAAUGCAGUCGUGGAUUCGAAUCGUGGUUUCAAUGACGGAGUAAAACAAAUACCUGACAUCAACUCGAUGUCCCAAACAAUAUAAGGCAAUGCAGUGUUUACCACUUUUGGUGUAAGAUCGUAGUUGUAUUAGAUAUUGUGUGACUCAGACAUUUGUUACAAUCCAUUAUGAAGGUUUGAUAUCCAUGAUUAUUCAUUUACCGUAACACACACGUGGC